UACGAAGGGGGCUAGCGUUGCUCGGAAUCACUGGGCGUAAAGCGCACGUAGGCGGCUUGUUAAGUCAGGGGUGAAAUCCUGGAGCUCAACUCCAGAACUGCCUUUGAUACUGUCGAGCUUGAGUCCGGGAGAGGUGAGUGGAACUGCGAGUGUAGAGGUGAAAUUCGUAGAUAUUCGCAAGAACACCAGUGGCGAAGGCGGCUCACUGGCCCGGUACUGACGCUGAGGUGCGAAAGCGUGGGGAGCAAACAGG
rnacentral:rRNA from 1 species